AUGAGCGCUAGCCUCACGCAGUGGCUCAGGCAGGCCGGUGGCAGGAACCAGGCCCGUGGAGGAGGGGUGCCCUUGUUGCCCACGUGUCCCACGAUCAGUUGCGCUGUCUGCCGCUCGGCCUGGCACCGACGGCCCCACUCGGCCAGCCGGUCCUUGCCCAGGCCCCCGGGGAACAUGACCACCAGCUCCAAGCCGUCGCCGCCGGGAUAGGCACAAGCCUGACAUAGCGCUGACAAGUAGCCCAGCAUGGCGUUCCAUUGGCCGCCACACACCCAAUCCGUCUGGUAGCCGCCAUAAAGCCGAGGCAGCGCUGAGCCCGCGUCCACCAGCACCCGGGCCCCGGGCAGCGGAGGGGGCGGCGGCGGCGGCGGCGGCGGCGGCGGGUGCAGCCCGGGGUGCGCCUGGCCGUGAUGGUGGAAGUGGUGGAAAUGGUGCGCACUUGGACCGGUGGCUGAUAAAGGGAUCACCUAGGAGAGAACACCUUGGAGUCAUUGUCAUUAAAUCAAGGAGGGAUCGUGGAUGGAUUCUGCACUGAUGAAGCUGGAAAUGCCUGCAAAUUCAUCCCCGGCUGGAACGGUCCCCCAGAUUGGGUAGGAAUUACUACAGACUGUUGUGGUGUUCCUGAAAUUCCUACCCACUGUACUGGAUACCCUGGCCCCCCCACAGCAUUAUAUUGACAAACAUGGGGUAUUCCAUAUGAUGAUAAUGGGCCAGGAAAUGAAGGGCGUGAAAGUCCUUGUGGCAAGGAGGUUGGGACAGCUCCACGGAUUUGGGACAGAGAAGAAAUCCAUGUUGAUGUGU